ensembl:miRNA
CCAGGGUCCUAGUUAAGAAGGCACAUUCCUAGAACCUGCCUCAGAACUACUGAACAAGGUCACUGGGUGUGGAGUCCAGGAAUCUGCAUUUUUACCCCUGUUGCCCCCGCC